rnacentral:rRNA from 1 species
AGUGAACGCUGGCGGUAGGCCUAACACAUGCAAGUCGAACGGCAGCACAGAGGAGCUUGCUCCUUGGGUGGCGAGUGGCGGACGGGUGAGGAAUACAUCGGAAUCUACUCUGUCGUGGGGGAUAACGUAGGGAAACUUACGCUAAUACCGCAUACGACCUACGGGUGAAAGCAGGGGACCUUCGGGCCUUGCGCGAUUGAAUGAGCAGAUGUCGGAUUAGCUAGUUGGCGGGGUAAAGGCCCACCAAGGCGACGAUCCGUAGCUGGUCUGAGAGGAUGAUCAGCCACACUGGAACUGAGACACGGUCCAGAUUCCUACGGGAGGCAGCAGUGGGGAAUAUUGGACAAUGGGCGCAAGCCUGAUCCAGCCAUACCGCGUGGGUGAAGAAGGCCUUCGGGUUGUAAAGCCCUUUUGUUGGGAAAGAAAUCCAGCUGGCUAAUACCCGGUUGGGAUGACGGUACCCAAAGAAUAAGCACCGGCUAACUUCGUGCCAGCCGCCGCGGUAA